rnacentral:ncRNA from 2 species
AGAUGAGGUAGAGGUCGCGGUGUUUAUUAGUAAAUUGUCCGAGAGUCAGAGAAACUCGAUGAAGCAAUUGAAAGGAACCACCGCCGAAGCGCCAUAAUUUCUCUGGUUAUGGCAGCUGGGGCUGUAUCCGAACAGGUGCAGAACUGUCAUGGCGUUUGCUAUGAUGAACUAUCCAUUUG